rnacentral:rRNA from 1 species
ACGCGUUGGGAGCUCUCCCAUAUGGUCGACCUGCAGGCGGCCGCGAAUUCACUAGUGAUUCGUAUUACCGCGGCUGCUGGCACAGAGUUAGCCGGUGCUUAUUCUGUCGGUAACGUCAAAACAGCAAAGUAUUAAUUUACUGCCCUUCCUCCCAACUUAAAGUGCUUUACAAUCCGAAGACCUUCUUCACACACGCGGCAUGGCUGGAUCAGGCUUUCGCCCAUUGUCCAAUAUUCCCCACUGCUGCCUCCCGUAGGAGUCUGGACCGUGUCUCAGUUCCAGUGUGACUGAUCAUCCUCUCAGACCAGUUACGGAUCGUCGCCUUGGUGAGCCAUUACCCCACCAACUAGCUAAUCCGACCUAGGCUCAUCUGAUAGCGCAAGGCCCGAAGGUCCCCUGCUUUCUCCCGUAGGACGUAUGCGGUAUUAGCGUCCGUUUCCGAACGUUAUCCCCCACUACCAGGCAGAUUCCUAGGCAUUACUCACCCGUCCGCCGCUCUCAAGAGAAGCAAGCUUCUCUCUACCGCUCGACUUGCAUGUGUUAGGCCUGCCCCCAGCGUUCAAUCUGAGCCAUGAUCAAACUCUAAUCGAAUUCCCGCGGCCGCCAUGGCGGCCGGGAGCAUGCGAC